GACGAACGCUGGCGGCGCGCUUAACACAUGCAAGUCGAGCGAGAACCUGGGCUUCGGCCCUGGGGACAGCGGCGAACGGGUGAGUAUCACGUGGGUAAUCUGCCCUCGGCAUCGGGAUAGCCCGGGGAAACCCGGAUUAAUACCGAAUAGCCUCCGGAGCCUUCGGGCGCCGGACAAAAGGUAGCUUCGGCCUCUGGCCGAGGAUGAGCCCGCGGCGGAUCAGCUUGUUGGCGGGGUAACGGCCCACCAAAGAGACGCUCCGUAGCUAGUCUGAGAGGACGAUCAGCCACACUGGGACUGAGACACGGCCCAGACUCCUACGGGAGGCAGCAGUGGGGAAUCUUGCGCUAAUGCGGGAAACCGUGACGCAGCGACGCCGCGUGGGGGAAGAAGGCCUUCGGGUUGUAAACCUCUUUCAGGAGGGACGAAGCUACUCGGGUUAAUAGCCCAGAGGGUGACGGUACCUCCAGAAGAAGCCCCGGCUAACUACGUGCCAGCCGCCGCAGUAA
rnacentral:rRNA from 1 species